AAAGUGCAUCCUUUUAGAGUGU
rnacentral:miRNA from 6 species